rnacentral:rRNA from 1 species
ACGAACGCUGGCGGCGUGCUUAACACAUGCAAGUCGAACGGUGAUCCUUAGAGCUUGCUCUUUGGUGAGCAGUGGCGAACGGGUGAGUAACACGUGAGUAACCUGCCCUUGACUCUGGAAUAAGCGCUGGAAACGGCGUCUAAUACCGGAUAUGACAUUGCCUCGCAUGGGGUGGUGUGGAAAGUUUUUCGGUUGGGGAUGGACUCGCGGCCUAUCAGCUUGUUGGUGAGGUAAUGGCUUACCAAGGCGAUGACGGGUAGCCGGCCUGAGAGGGCGAUCGGCCACACUGGGACUGAGACACGGCCCAGACUCCUACGGGAGGCAGCAGUGGGGAAUAUUGCACAAUGGGCGCAAGCCUGAUGCAGCGACGCCGCGUGAGGGAUGACGGCCUUCGGGUUGUAAACCUCUUUCAGCUCUGAAGAAGCGAAAGUGACGGUAGGAGCAGAAGAAGCACCGGCUAACUACGUGCCAGCCGCCGCCGUAAAA